rnacentral:rRNA from 1 species
GGGAAGAUAAUGACGGUACCUGGAGAAGAAGCCACGGCUAAUCUCGUGCCAGCAGCCGCGGUAAGACGAGAGUGGCAAGCGUUAUCCGGAAUUACUGGGCGUAAAGAGCGCGUAGGCGGUUUUGAAAGUCAGGGGUGAAAAGUCUGGGCUCAACCGAGGCCUUGCCUUUGAAACUUCAAGACUAGAGUACAGGAUAGGAGGGUAGAACUACCAGUGUAGCGGUGGAAUGCGUAGAUAUUGGUAGGAACGCCGAUGACGAAGGUAACUCUCUGGACUGAUACUGACGCUGAGGUGCGAAAGCUAGGGGAGCAAACAGGAUUAGAUACCCUGGUAGUCCUAGCUGUAAACGAUGGAUACUGGGUGUGGGCCAUAGCAUGGUCCGUGCCGAAGCUAACGCGAUAAGUAUCCCGCCUGGGGAGUACGGUCGCAAGAUUGAAACUCAAAGGAAUUGACGGGGACCCGCACAAGCGGUGGAGCAUGUGGUUUAAUUCGACGCAACGCGAGGAACCUUACCAGCUCUUGACA